CGGACGGGUGAGUAACACGUGGAUAACCUACCUAUAAGACUGGGAUAACUUCGGGAAACCGGAGCUAAUACCGGAUAAUAUAUUGAACCGCAUGGUUCAAUAGUGAAAGACGGUUUUGCUGUCACUUAUAGAUGGAUCCGCGCCGCAUUAGCUAGUUGGUAAGGUAACGGCUUACCAAGGCAACGAUGCGUAGCCGACCUGAGAGGGUGAUCGGCCACACUGGAACUGAGACACGGUCCAGGACCUACCUACCGGGAGGGCAGCAGUG
rnacentral:rRNA from 1 species